rnacentral:rRNA from 1 species
UACGUAGGGUGCGAGCGUUGUCCGGAAUUAUUGGGCGUAAAGAGCUUGUAGGCGGUUUGUCGCGUCUGCCGUGAAAGCCCAGGGCUUAACCCUGGGUCUGCGGUGGGUACGGGCAGACUAGAGUGUGGUAGGGGAGACUGGAAUUCCUGGUGUAGCGGUGAAAUGCGCAGAUAUCAGGAGGAACACCGAGUGGCGAAGGCAGGUCUCUGGGCCACUACUGACGCUGAGGAGCGAAAGCAUGGGGAGCGAACAGG